UACGUGGGCGGCGAGCGUUAUCCGGAUUUAUUGGGCGUAAAGGGUGCGUAGGCGGCCUGUUAAGUUUAAGGUGAAAGCGUGGGUCUCAACCCCAUAAGGCCUUAGAUACUGGCAGGCUAGAGUACUGGAGAGGAAAGUGGAAUUCCAUGUGUAGCGGUAAAAUGCGUAGAGAUAUGGAGGAACACCGGUGGCGAAGGCGGCUUUCUAGACAGUAACUGACGCUGAGGCACGAAAGUGUGGGGAGCAAACA
rnacentral:rRNA from 1 species